rnacentral:rRNA from 1 species
UACGUAGGGGGCAAGCGUUGUCCGGAAUCAUUGGGCGUAAAGAGCGUGUAGGCGGUCCGGUAAGUCGGCUGUGAAAGUCCAGGGCUCAACCCUGGGAUGCCGGUCGAUACUGCCGGACUAGAGUUCGGAAGAGGCGAGUGGAAUUCCCGGUGUAGCGGUGAAAUGCGCAGAUAUCGGGAGGAACACCUAUGGCGAAGGCAGCUCGCUGGGACGUUACUGACGCUGAGACGCGAAAGCGUGGGGGGCAAACAGG